UACAAAAUAUAUAGGAAAAGACAAAAUAACCGUUCGCCGGCACUAUCGGCUGUGUCAUUUACUGAUAUCGUUAUCAUGUAUGAGCUUUUCAAAUAAUUUGACCCUGGCCUAGGGUGAACAGGAUUUAAUAAAUCAUUCAGAUGCACCUUUUCCUCUAUUUAUAAUAAGUUUUUAAAAAGUAUUACAAAACUUUCUCGAUAGAACAAACUACUGCAGAUCGCUAUAUAUCGCGAUAAUUGAUAUCACGUGACAUUUGCCCAUAGAAACUGGACGCUCGAAUCAGCAGGAUCGGAACAUCGUUAGCUUGACUUCUAAUCUUAGGAGUGAAUAUUCCACAUUUAUCUUUAAUUUGGUGCUUGAUUUGCGGAUGGAUUUACGUAAAUGAUAUGGGCUGAUGUGAAUGGAAUGCGUUUUGAGGAAUUAAAGUAACAUGACAACUGAUUAUCCGAUACCAAAUUCACCAUCGGAUCAAUUGGAAGACCUUCAUGUGUAUGUAUUACCAAGAGAAUCAUGGAAUGAUAAAUAUAGCAGCGUUUUCACCAAUGAUUCCAUCUCGGAUGCGCGGUCUGCUGGAUUUGUCAGCAUAUCGCCAAACCUGACACUUAAUGAAUUACGGACCGAGCUAAUAAGGACCUUAGGAGGUGAUAUACCUGCAAGCUUUGCAUUCCUCCAUAGUGUAGGAAGAUGUAUGACAAGGGUAA